GGAGUCAAAAACCACAGAUAGUCCCUUGGGUCCGGGUGUGGGUUCGUGGUUAGGGCAGGCUGGCCUGUGUCAGUGAGAGCCCCCUGGAUGCUCUGAGAGCCGAGCUGCCUGCAUGGGGCCAUGGUGCACCCAAAUACUUGUGGCGGCCUGUGAGGAACUACUUCUGAGCCUAAGCCCUGUUUGCUGAAAAGGUGCUAGUGUAGGUUUGAUGGCAUCAAGCUUUGCAGGACUUCCUCUGCAGACUGAAGAUGCCAGCCUCCGUUGUGCACAUUUCAUUUUCAGUUAUUUUCUACUAAAUUGCAUAUCCAUAGCACUUGGCAAGCUUAAAAAAACCAUUUGAGGCAUGUAGAAGACUUACAGACUUCAUUGCGUCGGUACGUGCCAUGCUGAUGGUAUCUUACUCUGAUGUGUCCUUUUGCCACACAUGAAACUCUUCAGCUACCUUCAGAAGAGUUCUAGAACUCCAGUUCUGAAGGCAGCUUUGGUGACUGCAAAACAAGAUCCUGGUGCUUUGCCAGGUGGCCAGUGUUCACAUCCUCAUUGGAAAUGUGGCCCCACUCAUGUGGUGCUCAUGAGAAGGCUGAUCGUGGAAGCUAGAGGUGAGGAUUGUUCUGUGACCCUGCUCUCUGUCCUCUUUAGAAAUUAUUCUGUUGGCUUUCCUUCAGGUGUUUUCCAGAACUUUGUCUGGUUUUUCAGUGUAUCUUGCUACUGACAAUUUACUUUUUGUCUUAUUCAAGCUGGAUCUAACCAAGUUCUAGUUGUUCUAAAAGUCUGUCUUCUGUAGGAUGCAUGAGCUUUCUGAUGAUAAACAACAGGUUAUUGAUCCCGUUAGUUAAACUGAUGUAAAUCCAGUGAAGAGGUAAGCAGGAAAGCUGGGAGUUCUCCUGAGGCUCCUACUGUUGGAAGCACAACGUGUGAUCUGGUAACUGGAUGUGGAUUUCUGGGAAGACAGUAUAAAAUUAAACAUAAGAACAAUGCAUUUGGCCAAGAUGCAGCAUUAGACCCAGAUCCACUGAGUUUCCUGGUUGCCAUUGGGAACUCCUGCCCGAAGUCCAACAUUUCCUGGUUCAAACUUUUCUCUUUUUGACCCUAAAUCUUUAAAUAGCUUGUGAAUACUGAAAGCUUCCUCUUACUUUCCUAAAACUGCCUCUCAUCUUCCUCUCAGCACAUACACACAGAGCCCAUUUUUCUUAAGUUCCUUCCCUUUCCAUUUAAUGAGUGUGCUAGAGAAAUGUGUGAUCCUUCUAGCUUUUCAUUUUACUUGGUACAGAGGAGAGGUAGCUUAUGUUUGUACAUGGAGACUGAAAAGGAGCCCUAAAGUAAUCUAUUUCUGAUUUCCCAGAAAAGAAAUACCUUAACAGCAUGUUGCGUUUGCAGCAUUUUCUCAUCUAAAAAUAGAGAGUUUAAAAAUAUUUUCGUUUAUCUUGUGAGUCUGUCUGUGAGUUUGUAUGACACUCGACUGCAUUAGCUGUCACCUGAAGUACUCUGCUCCACAUCUCCUUCUGCUGCUGCUCAGACUGGGCUGACCUUUGCUCUCACUGAGUUACUGUUUUCCAGCAGCACUUCUCUUCCUUAGGGCUUUACACUUUCCAUGUUGGUAUUUUUCUCCAAAGUCCUUUGUCUGCUAUGACUGACUCCAUGACUUCACUCUCUUUGUCAUUGCUCUUCUUUAUCUCGUAUGGCUGUAGAUUACAUACAGCCUCACAGCUCAACUUCUGUUUGCUUUUUUAUUCUGUUCUUCUGUAAAGCUGAGCCAAGGACACAGCUUGUGCUUCAUAGAGCUGGGCCCUGGUUACAGUCGCUGGCUCUGGGGAGGAUGCCUGUGCAGUGCAGUGCAGUGUGGCCCCUCUCCUGCUGUCAGUCAGUCACUGCUGUGCCCAGGAUGGCACCCGCUAAGGCAGGGAUCUGAAUUACAGCUUAUGGUGUUAAUGCUGACCUUGAAAACAAAACCCAGAAAUAACAAUGGAAAAUGUCACCAUCUCUUGCCAAGCUUCAUCACAUCGAAAAACUAUUUCAAAAUUCUGGCUUUUCUAGGAAAAAAAACAAACCAAACCCCAAAGGUGUAAGAGAAUACCAUAGAAAUUCUUUUAAUUUGCUAUUAAUACAAGACUGGAGAUGCACCUUUUUGGUGGUGCUGGGGUUUUGGUGGUUUGUUUUGGUUAUUUGGGGGGUUUUUGUUAGAUCCAAGAGUAAAUGGCUUGUUCUGAAGAUGUUUUUCUGCCUUAAAACUGCAAAUGCAAAAAUGCUGAAUAUUCAGUGUAUUGGCUUGAGACUCACUGAAGCUGGAAGAUUUUUUAGUCAAGUCUUUCUCUAGUUCACCCUUCAUUGCCAUAGCUAGUACUUUAAAGGAAAUUUUGACUAAAAGAUCUUUCUAUGUUCUUGGAAGUGUUAAAGCUCACAAAUACUCUUAACAUGUAGUUGAGACAUCAUAGACUCAAGAGCUCAAACUUUAGACUUUUUAAUGCAUUCUGUGGUUUUGCAAAGCGUUUUGUUAGUUUUUGUACAUGUAUAUACUGUUGCAGGCUUUUUAAUCAGGUAUGCCACAGAUGUGGAGGGAACACAAGCUUCCGCAGGCCAGCUACAUGCUCAGAAAUACUUAAAUGCCUGUUGUUGAUGCCGCUAUAGCUACGUGUUCUGAUUUUGUGUUCGCUCUCACAUGCAGCAUAAGUGCAGCACUCCAGACAAAAGCGGAGGGAUUAAGGAAAAAAAAAAACUUGUGGUCAUUUCUUAAGCAUUCUUUUGGAGCUAAACUUAAUUUACAAACUUUGAGCAUAUGUUUGGUAUUUUGGGAGAGCUGUAUUAAGCUGUUUUCACAGCUGACAUGGUGACAUUUCUCUUAAGUGUAACACGCUGUUGUUCCAGCAUGGCAAAGGUCUGCAUAAUUCAUGUGUGCUCAACUUAAUCACUGGUUUUCUUCUUGUGACAAUAAAUGGCAUUGUACCAAAA
ensembl:lncRNA